AACGUAGGAGGCGAGCGUUAUCCGGAUUUACUGGGCGUAAAGCGCGUGUAGGCGGUUUGGUAAGUUGGAUGUGAAAGCUCCUGGCUUAACUGGGAGAGGUCGUUCAAAACUACCAGACUUGAGAGUGAUAGAGGAAAAUGGAAUUCCGGGUGUAGUGGUGAAAUGCGUAGAUAUCCGGAGGAACACCAGUGGCGAAAGCGAUUUUCUGGCUCAUUUCUGACGCUCAAACGCGAAAGCUAGGGUAGCAAACGGGAUUAGAGACCCCGGUAGUCCUAGCCGUAACUAUGUGAACUUGGCGUCGGCGGGUUCAAAUCCGUCGGUGCCGCAGCUAACGCGAUAAGUUCACCGCCUGGGGACUACGGCCGCAAGGUUAAA
rnacentral:rRNA from 1 species